UAUUAAGAUUUUUAUCGAGUUCUACUAUUAAAAACUUGCAUUAUCGACAAAAUAACCAAUUAGCUACAUGUGACGUGUCACGUGUGCCUUAUUCUGACAUACAAGGAUAAAUUUUUAACAGUAGAAAUGGAUGAAAUUCUUAAGA
rfam:Gossypium arboreum cultivar AKA8401 contig_2730_1, whole genome shotgun sequence.